AAGAAGAGGCCUCUCCGUGGAGGCAGUUCCGCUUUUGUCCAGGAGAUGGCGGGCGAGGCCAGCAGAAAAGCCUUGCAGCCCUCAGGGCCAGGCCCGCGUAGUUGACCCCUUUUUGUAAAAGAUGCAGGAACCUGAAACCUAUUUGCCGACCCUAUAAAUGCGCGUGGAUGAUAAGACCUGGCUUUCGAGCUCAUUUCUUUGGAAAUCCUUCCCAGCCCUAUGGCCACCUGUCUGGUUGACUGCAAGCUUUUCUCCGGUCCCAUCUCUGCAGGGGUCUGCACACUCGAAAGAGGGCUAAUCAGGCCUACAGAUAUUUUCUCCUCAGAGU